AUUCUCCUCCGAUCUUUUCCAGGACACCCACGAGAGCACCAAAGUGAUGUCAACCGCCCUCUACACCCAGUCUGUCAUGGAAAGAGCAGAGAAUUUGGCAGUACGUCUAACUGGCCUCACAAUCGUAGACCACGCCAGCCCAGGACCUCCACAUCCGGCUUCUUUACCUGCGGGAUCGUCUGAGACUGUGGGUUUGUACAACCAAAGAAUUUCUGCACAUACUGUCAGAAACCGUCUCUGGUAUGCAACUUCAGUGGGCCAAGGCUCACCUUCGAUGGCCACUGGCACGCUGAAUAAGUGCUCUUCACGGAGGAAUCAUAAUUUCAACUGUACUGAGCAGAUGGCAGACAACGUGUAUGGUGUUGUGUGAGCAAGUGUUUUACUGAUGUCAACGUUGUGAACAGAGUGCCCCAUGGUGGCGGUGGGGUUAUGGUAUGGGCAGGCAUAUGUUACAGACAAUGAACACAAUUGCAUUUUAUUUAUGGCAAUUUGAAUGCACAAAGACACCGUGAUGAGAUCCUGAGGCCCAUUGUCGUGCCAUUGAUCCGCCACCAUCACCGCAAAUGGUGGUCAUACCAGAUACUGACUUGACUGGUUUUCAUGCCCUCGCCCCUACCUUUUUUCAAAGGUAUCUGUGACCAACAGAUGUAUAUCUGUGUUCCCAGUCAUGUGAAAUCCAUAGAUUAGGGCCUAAUACAUUUAUUUAAAUUGAUUGAUUUCCUUAUGAACUGUAAUUUAGUCAAAUCUUUGAAAUUGUUGCGUUUAUAUUUUUGUUCAGUGUGUAUAUACUAUAUAGUACCAGUCAACUUUGGACACACCUACUCAUAUUUCUCUUUAUUUUUAUUAUUUUCUACAUUGUAGAAUAAUAGUGAAGACAUCAAAGCUAUGAAAUAACACAUGGAAUCAUGUAGUAAUUAAAAAAGUGUUAAACAAAUCUAAA